rnacentral:rRNA from 1 species
GACGAACGCUGGCGGCGUGUCUAAUACAUGCAAGUUGAGCGAUGAAGAUUGGUGCUUGCACCAAUUUGAAGAGCAGCGAACGGGUGAGUAACGCGUGGGGAAUCUGCCUUUGAGCGGGGGACAACAUUUGGAAACGAAUGCUAAUACCGCAUAACAACUUUAAACAUAAGUUUUAAGUUUGAAAGAUGCAAUUGCAUCACUCAAAGAUGAUCCCGCGUUGUAUUAGCUAGUUGGUGAGGUAAAGGCUCACCAAGGCGAUGAUACAUAGCCGACCUGAGAGGGUGAUCGGCCACAUUGGGACUGAGACACGGCCCAAACUCCUACGGGAGGCAGCAGUAGGGAAUCUUCGGCAAUGGGCGAAAGUCUGACCGAGCAACGCCGCGUGAGUGAAGAAGGUUUUCGGAUCGUAAAACUCUGUUGGUAGAGAAGAACGUUGGUGAGAGUGGAAAGCUCGUCAAGUGACGGUAACUACCCAGAAAGGGACGGCUAACUACGUG